GAUGAACGCUGGCGGCGCGCCUAAUACAUGCAAGUCGAGCGAACAUAAGAGGAGCUUGCUCCUCUUACGUUAGCGGCGGACGGGUGAGUAACACGUGGGUAACCUACCUAGAAGACGGGGAUAACUUCUGGAAACCACAGCUAAUACCGCAUAAUAUAUUGAACCGCAUUGGUCAAUAGGGAAAGAGGGUUUUUCGGUCACGUAUGGAUUGAUCCGCACUUCAUUAGCUAGUGGGUAAGGGAACGGCUUACGAAGGCAACGAUGCGUAGACGACCUGAGAGGGUCAUCGGCUACCCUGGAAGUGAGACUGGGCGCAGACACCGACGGGAAGACGCAGUAGGGACUCCUACGCAAUGGGGGAAAGCCUGACGGAGCACCGUCGCGUGAGUGAUGAAGGUGCUCGGCUGGUAAGACUAUGUUAUUAGGGAAAAACAAAUCUGUAAGUAAUUAUGCCCGUAUUGACGGUACCUAACAAGAAAGCAACGGCUAACUACGUG
rnacentral:rRNA from 1 species